rnacentral:lncRNA from 1 species
AAAGGUCUCGGUCCCGUAGGCAUACGCCUCCGUAGUCAACGCUGUCCAAGCAUCGGUGGUGAUGGCAACUUUCUCCGUUAAGGACAGGAUCUCACGGAGCGAGGCUGCUGCUUCGCUGUACAUCUUCUCCAGCCGCACAGUCAUAGUUUGGCGACAUGGCACUGUAAUCGAGAAGCCCCUGACUGCAGCCCGCAGACGGAGCCCACAUGGAGGGGGCGGGCACUCAGUCCACAUGGAGGGGGCCGGCCCUCCGCCCACAUGGAGGGGGCGGGCACUCAGUCCACAUGGAGGGGGCCGGCACUCCGCCCACAUGGAGGGGGCGGAUACUCAUGCUGCGUUCGAGUAUUCUCUGCGAACCGACUCGGAUCUCGGAUCUGACGCCACGCCCGUCCACAUCGAGGGGGCGGCCACUCAGUUCACAUUGAGGACUGGUCAAACAGCAUGUGCAGCAUCUGAUCCCGUUUCUGACCUGAAAUUAGCUGAAAUGUACCUGAAAUUACCUGAAAUUAGAGUGUGCCCGCCCGAGCUAGUGAUGCCUAAAACAUGCAAAGACACGUCAGUGUAAUUAUGAAUGGCGAGAGCCCUGAAAUACAGCUGGACAGCAGCGGUCUACAUCACUGCCCCUUCUGCAGAUACAAAGGGUCAAAAUGUGAUAUCGACCAUCACAUUAAAUGCCAUGCCUCGGUUAAAUACAGAGGUCUGCAGAGGAGCUUUCAGGAAGCAGGAAGAGAAGACGGGAGGAAAAAAAAGCUACAGGAUAAAGAUCUCUGCACAAAAAGGGCUAGAGUUGCUCGAACAGCAUCCAGCUCUGAAGGAUCAGGUCAUGUAUAGACUGUUAAUCCAGGAAGAUUAUGUUGUCCUGAAGGACACAAUUCAGGCAGCAGCAUGGUGCCAGUUACAGUCCUUCAAGGACAGCGUUUCUCUCCCAGAGGUCAUUGGGAUGGAAGGUUGGGAGCAGAUGGCAGCUUCAACACAGCGCAAAUCCCAUGACGGCGGGGAUGAGGAAGAAACGUGGAAACCAUUCCAAUUCUCAUUCAGAUUACAUACUGACUAUGAACUGUUCUGUGUGGAGAGGAUGGACAGGAGAAACCUGAAGGUGUUUGCCUCUUUUGAGUCAAACACCUCUCCCCCUCCCCGUCCCCCUCCCCGUGACGCCUGCGCCACACGACUCCAAUGUAGUCUGAUGAUGCAGCAUAAUGGCGGCGCUUGGCAGCUAUGGCGGCGGUGA